AAAAAACAAUAGCAAUGUUACGCCAUAUGAUUAAACUCACAUGUACCAAGCCUAAAUUACCUGGCUCUGGGUUUUGCAGCAUUCUUAGGAGAGGGAGAUGGUUCUGUUGGGAUAAAUCUCUUACAAAUUACUGAAUUGAAUUACUAUUCAACACACACUAAUGAUAUCCUUACAUCUUGUUCCAUAAUUCCCAUGGACCUCGCUUCAUCUCUCUUCCUGGGAUGAUUAAUAGUUACUUGUUUCAAAAAUGCUACAUUGACGUUGAAUCAUUCACAGGAGUAGAUGCCACUAAACCAUUUGAGAAACACAUUAGUAUUUGAUGUCUUUUGGAUCAAGUUGAGUGAAUUUGUAGUUGUGAAGCACUUCUGGAACCAUGGAACAAGGUAAAGGAAGCAAAGUGAAAGUAUUU